rnacentral:rRNA from 1 species
CAUAGGUUAAUGAGGCGAACCGGGGGAACUGAAACAUCUAAGUACCCCGAGGAAAAGAAAUCAACCGAGAUUCCCCCAGUAGCGGCGAGCGAACGGGGAGCAGCCCAGAGCCUGAAUCAGUGUGUGUGUUAGUGGAAGCGUCUGGAAAGGCGCGCGAUACAGGGUGACAGCCCCGUACACAAAAAUGCACAUGCUGUGAGCUCGAUGAGUAGGGCGGGACACGUGGUAUCCUGUCUGAAUAUGGGGGGACCAUCCUCCAAGGCUAAAUACUCCUGACUGACCGAUAGUGAACCAGUACCGUGAGGGAAAGGCGAAAAGAACCCCGGCGAGGGGAGUGAAAAAGAACCUGAAACCGUGUACGUACAAGCAGUGGGAGCACAGAGCAAUCUGUGUGACUGCGUACCUUUUGUAUAAUGGGUCAGCGACUUAUAUUCUGUAGCAAGGUUAACCGAAUAGGGGAGCCGAAGGGAAACCGAGUCUUAACUGGGCGUUAAGUUGCAGGGUAUAGACCCGAAACCCGGUGAUCUAGCCAUGGGCAGGUUGAAGGUUGGGUAACACUAACUGGAGGACCGAACCGACUAAUGUUGAAAAAUUAGCGGAUGACUUGUGGCUGGGGGUGAAAGGCCAAUCAAACCGGGAGAUAGCUGGUUCUCCCCGAAAGCUAUUUAGGUAGCGCCUCGUGAAUUCAUCUCCGGGGGUAGAGCACUGUUUCGGCAAGGGGGUCAUCCCGACUUACCAACCCGAUGCAAACUGCGAAUACCGGAGAAUGUUAUCACGGGAGACACACGGCGGGUGCUAACGUCCGUCGUGAAGAGGGAAACAACCCAGACCGCCAGCUAAGGUCCCAAAGUCAUGGUUAAGUGGGAAACGAUGUGGGAAGGCCCAGACAGCCAGGAUGUUGGCUUAGAAGCAGCCAUCAUUUAAAGAAAGCGUAAUAGCUCACUGGUCGAGUCGGCCUGCGCGGAAGAUGUAACGGGGCUAAACCAUGCACCGAAGCUGCGGCAGCGACGCUUAUGCGUUGUUGGGUAGGGGAGCGUUCUGUAAGCCUGCGAAGGUGUGCUGUGAGGCAUGCUGGAGGUAUCAGAAGUGCGAAUGCUGACAUAAGUAACGAUAAAGCGGGUGAAAAGCCCGCUCGCCGGAAGACCAAGGGUUCCUGUCCAACGUUAAUCGGGGCAGGGUGAGUCGACCCCUAAGGCGAGGCCGAAAGGCGUAGUCGAUGGGAAACAGGUUAAUAUUCCUGUACUUGGUGUUACUGCGAAGGGGGGACGGAGAAGGCUAUGUUGGCCGGGCGACGGUUGUCCCGGUUUAAGCGUGUAGGCUGGUUUUCCAGGCAAAUCCGGAAAAUCAAGGCUGAGGCGUGAUGACGAGGCACUACGGUGCUGAAGCAACAAAUGCCCUGCUUCCAGGAAAAGCCUCUAAGCAUCAGGUAACAUCAAAUCGUACCCCAAACCGACACAGGUGGUCAGGUAGAGAAUACCAAGGCGCUUGAGAGAACUCGGGUGAAGGAACUAGGCAAAAUGGUGCCGUAACUUCGGGAGAAGGCACGCUGAUAUGUAGGUGAAGUCCCUCGCGGAUGGAGCUGAAAUCAGUCGAAGAUACCAGCUGGCUGCAACUGUUUAUUAAAAACACAGCACUGUGCAAACACGAAAGUGGACGUAUACGGUGUGACGCCUGCCCGGUGCCGGAAGGUUAAUUGAUGGGGUUAGCGCAAGCGAAGCUCUUGAUCGAAGCCCCGGUAAACGGCGGCCGUAACUAUAACGGUCCUAAGGUAGCGAAAUUCCUUGUCGGGUAAGUUCCGACCUGCACGAAUGGCGUAAUGAUGGCCAGGCUGUCUCCACCCGAGACUCAGUGAAAUUGAACUCGCUGUGAAGAUGCAGUGUACCCGCGGCAAGACGGAAAGACCCCGUGAACCUUUACUAUAGCUUGACACUGAACAUUGAGCCUUGAUGUGUAGGAUAGGUGGGAGGCUUUGAAGUGUGG